AGCCUCCCAAAGUUCCGGGAUUACAGGCGUGAGCUACCGCGCCCGGCAAGUAUUUUGUUUUUAAAUUCAGCCUGCUCCUGGAGGUUUUUACUUGGCUUAAAAAUAACAUGAGACUUGAAAGUUCAUUGUCUUAAAAAAUAAAGAAGAAAAGACAAAAUUGUGGCUAAUGGAGGUGCAACCUCCAGACACAAAACUUGGAUUGAUGAUGGUAAAAUCUGAGAGCCUGUGUUGGAAGACAGCAGCCAGGAGCGAGAUGUUGCCCUCUUUAGAUUUCACAUCUUUGCUUCAGUGGUUUUCUUUAAAGGCAAGCAAAGAGUCUCACUCUGUCUCCCAGACUGGAGUGCAAUGGCGCGAUCUCAGCUCACUGUAACCUCCACCUCCCGAGUUCAAGCGAUUAUCCCACCUCAGCCUCCCAUGUAACUGGGAUUACAGAUGGAGUCUCACUCUGUUCCCCAGGCUUGAGUGCAGUGGUGCAAUCUCGGCUCACUGCAAGCUCCGCCUCCCAGGUUCGUGCCAUUCUCCUGCCUCAGCCUACCGGAGUAGCUGGGACUACAGGCAUGAGUGCAGUGGCGUGAUCUCAGCUCACUACAAUCUCCGCCUCCCCGGUUCAAGUGAUUCUCCUUCCUCAGCCUUCCAAGUAGCUGGGAUUACAGAUGGAGUUUCGCUCUUGUUGCCCAGGCUGGAGUCCAAUGGCGCGAUCUCGGCUCACUGCAACCUCCGCCUACCGGGUUCAAGCAAUUCGACUGCCUCAGCCUCCCAAAUAGCUGGGAUUGCAGGUUUGUGGACUCUUACAAAAGGAACAGUCGAAUUGAUUCAGCAUCAGCUAAGCAUGGAAGAAAAAAAAAUAUGUAACUGUGAAAACAAAAACAAAACAGAUUUCUGGCUGCUGUCCUCAGAAGCCUCCCGCACAGACGAUGUUCCUGACAGGAUCAACAAACGUCGCAUUUCACUGUCCCACAGUGCAGCUUCGUCCAUCAGCCACUGACUGGCAUGGGCCAGGAGCAGUGUUGGUCUCGGUGACAGUGACUUCCUUGCCCUGCUCUGAAUGAGUGUCCUUUCUGUGAAAGUAGGUCUCAUGGUUCUAGGGCUGAUCCCAGCGCCAUCCCACAACAUUUCAGUGUGCCCGACAGCGUGCCUGGCAAGCAGCGAGCUCCUGACAAUUGGAAGCUGCUAAUGCUGUUACAGACAUCUGCAAGCAAGUCAGAUCAGCCAGCUUCCAUCACGUGAGACACCUUGGAGGACAAAGCCACAUUGUGUGGAGGAAAACACACCACCAUUCAGGCCCAUCGUCAUCCUGCUUUCUCCUAUACUCAGUCUCCCACAGUGCCAGGUAGUUUUCUGCCUGUACUAAGAAGGGUGAAUGGAAAGGUGAGAUGUAAAAACAAACAAACAAACAAGGGCUCGAAAUGUCUAUGGGAAGAUAAAAUUGUAGCAGUGCUUUAGAAAACAAGAAGCGCAUGAUUAAAUGGACUGUUGUUUUCUUUAGAAUGCGGGUAUUAUCAUUGGUAUUGAGGUGACGCAUUAGGACUUUGAGGUGCCUCCCCCACCCUGGCCUCUGCGCUGGCAGUGAGAACCCAGCCCGUGCUAUCUUCACAGUUCUCAGCCCAUGGAAGCACAGGCCACCUGGGCUCCUGCAAACACCAGACGUGUAAUUAGAGGCUCCUGGGCUGGGAUGAUGUGGUGUGCAGACAAGUCUUAUCACGCGUCUGAGCCGCUGUGGGUGCCUGGAGUUGCCUCUGCAGCCCGGAGCGGAUGAGCGGAGGCUCCCGUGACUCACCCAACUGCAGGAACUGUCAACUGGCUUCUGCCCAGCCAAGAACUUUUAUCAAUCACUAAGUAGAGACACUGUGUACAAGGACACCGGUUCAUCCAAGAACAUCAGGACAGCCAGGAAUUCAAAACACAAAACACAGCUUCCUGCAUGUUGCACCCCAGGCGGCUCUGAGGCUCAGCCCAAGGAAGGUUUGGGGCUCGGGCCAGAAAGACACGAUUCACUCUGACUUACACAAGAGGGGAGUGUACAAAAGUCAUGCAGUCUCAGGGGAAGGCACUGGGCUAAACCCUCAUGACUGUAAAAUGAAGAAAUAGGCAUGAAGCAUGA
rnacentral:lncRNA from 10 species